rnacentral:tRNA from 1 species
GGAGGUAUCACUCAGAGGUAGAGUGCACGCUUAGCAUGCACGAGGUCCUGGGUUCAAUUCCUGGUACCUCCA